rnacentral:rRNA from 1 species
CACGUAGGGGGCGAGCGUUGUCCGGAUUCAUUGGGCGUAAAGCGCGCGCAGGCGGCUCGGAAAGUCGGGUGUGAAAACUCGGGGCUCAACCCCGGGCGUGCAUCCGAUACUGCCGGGCUUGAGGCAGGUAGGGGAGAUCGGAAUUCCUGGUGUAGCGGUGAAAUGCGCAGAUAUCAGGGGGAACACCGGUGGCGAAGGCGGAUCUCUGGGCCUGUCCUGACGCUGAGGCGCGAAAGCUAGGGGAGCGAACAGG